rnacentral:lncRNA from 1 species
UAGAAUACUAACUGAUAUACUUGGUUAAUGUAAUGCAGUAAAAAAAUUUCAAAACUGCUCAGUAUGAAAAUAAAUAUCAAAUAUAAUUUUUUUAUUGGAAUUAUCACCUCUGCAGUAAGUUCUUCCUGACUGUUUUAGUUACAGAUUUUCCUGUUUCCAGAAACUGCAAAUCUGUGAAGUUCUCUGCAUUUUACUUCAUCUUUAAAUAUCUACUGUUCGAAUUUAGAAUAUCCUCCCUGGUUUUCCUGUUACUGGUAAGAUGACAACCACACUGUUCCUGAGAAGGAAUAGGAAAGCAAUUUACAUUUUGCAGUGAUUAGUGGCUAUUAAACAGCUGAUAAAAGUAUCCUAUACUUUCCAUGUGAAAGCUAACUGAAAAAAUCAGCAAACAACUGUGUAAAAUUUCUUCACCUAGAGCCUGGCUGGGCACUAGAACAGGCUCGUGAGG